rnacentral:Y_RNA from 1 species
GGCUGGUCCACCGAUAGUGGUAACUUAUUAACAUUAAUGACACUAAUGUUGUUAUACAACCCCUCACUGCUAAAUUUGACAGGCAAAA